UACGUAGGGUGCAAGCGUUGUUCGGAAUCAUUGGGCGUAAAGCGUGUGUAGGUGGCUAUUUAAGUUGAUUGUGAAAUCCCUCGGCUCAACCGAGGAAGUGCAGUCAAAACUAGAUGGCUAGAGGACAGCAGAGGAAGGUGGAAUUCCAAGUGUAGAGGUGAAAUUCGUAGAUAUUUGGAGGAAUACCGGCGGCGAAGGCGGCCUUCUGGACUGUUCCUGACACUGAGACACGAAAGCGUGGGUAGCAAACAGG
rnacentral:rRNA from 1 species